rnacentral:rRNA from 1 species
AUUGAACGCUGGCGGCCGGCCUAACACAUGCAAGUCGAACGAGUGGCGGACGGGUGAGUAAUGUCUGGGAAACUGCCUGAUGGAGGGGGAUAACUACUGGAAACGGUAGCUAAUACCGCAUACCAUCAGAUGUGCCCAGAUGGGAUUAGCUAGUUGGGUGGGUAACGGCUCACCAAGGCGACGAUCCCUAGCUGGUCUGAGAGGAUGACCAGCCACAAGGGAACUGAGAAAGGGUCCAGACUCCUACGGGAGGAAGCAGUGGGGAAUAUUGCACAAGGGGCGAGAGCCUGAUGCAGCCAUGCCGCGUGUAUGAAGAAGGCCUUCGGGUUGUAAAGUACUUUCAGCGGGGAGGCGUUACCCGCAGAAGAAGCACCGGCUAACUCCGUGCCAGCAGCCGCGGUAAUUC